AUGAUCAGGUAGAUAGGUCAGAGGUGGAAGUGUGGCGACACAUGGAGCUGACUGAUACUAAUCGAUCGAGGACUUAACCAAA
rnacentral:rRNA from 1 species